rnacentral:rRNA from 1 species
AUUGAACGCUGGCGGCAUGCCUAACACAUGCAAGUCGAACGGCAGCACGAACUAGUUUACUAGUAUGGUGGCGAGUGGCGAACGGGUGAGUAAUACGUAGGAAUAUGCCCUGAGGUGGGGGACAACUUGGGGAAACUCAAGCUAAUACCGCAUGCACUCUGAGGAGUAAAGCUGGGGACCGUAAGGCCUGGCGCCUUAGGAGUAGCCUACGUCCGAUUAGCUAGUUGGUAGGGUAAAGGCCUACCAAGGCGAUGAUCGGUAGCUGGUCUGAGAGGAUGGUCAGCCACACUGGGACUGAGACACGGCCCAGACUCCUACGGGAGGCAGCAGUGGGGAAUAUUGGACAAUGGGGGGAACCCUGAUCCAGCAAUGCCGCGUGUGUGAAGAAGGCCUGAGGGUUGUAAAGCACUUUCAGUGGGGAGGAGGGUAUAUUGGUUAAGAGCUGGUAUAUUGGACGUUACCCACAGAAGAAGCACCGGCUAACUCCGUGCCAGCCGCCGCGGUAA